CUGCAGCUAAUUAAGCCGACUGGCCCACCUCUCUGAUGGGGGCUCAGUGUGCAAUGGCUGCGAAAAGCAGAUUCCUUGGUUGUGUAUGCAGCUCAUUCCUUGUAUGUGUUGCUUUAAGGGACCCUGGAAACAUCU
ensembl:snoRNA SNORA70 Small nucleolar RNA SNORA70